GGUCCGCUUUCCGAGGGCACUUGAGGAGGACGAGGGGGGCGCCUGGGUGGGGGACUUCUUAACAAAGUGAAGGGCUCUGGUGCUCUGGGGUUCGAUUCGGGAGGCCAGCGGCGUCAGACGCGCGCUGUCCCUGGUGCACAGCCUGGCUCUCUCACUUCCCACUCUGGGGCGCGCGAUCGGGGUAUCUCUUAACAGGAUGCUCGGGACGGGCAUGUGCUGGAAACUGUUUAUGUUGAAUUUAGUUACACGUGGAUUUUCUUUCGUGGAGUACUGACUUGUGUACUAAGGAUGGCCAUUGCUGUGGCUGGAAGGCGGAUGCGUCCCCAUCGUAGGUACAGUCAGGCUCCUACCUGAGCCCCUCGCCCCAGUGACCCUGCAAGCACAGCAUGCUGUGCCUCCAGACGGCCCAGAGGCCAUCUCUCCCAGACCCCAAAUCCCAGCAACCGUGAAGGAAGAAGUGAAGGACUCCGGUCAUUCAAAAAAGAAAAAGAGGGACGAGGUACAGGGAGACAGUGCCUUGACGUUUCUUACUUAUUUUUUAAAACCUCCACAAAAGCCCCUACUACAAAAGUACUGGAUGCUAAGGCUAUAGACCCCCAACACCUAGUCCCGCCUCCCAGCGGCCGCCCUCUCCAGAUUUUAAAGGGUUAGAAAGCAGGGUUGGAACUCCUUGGGACUGGCAAGGGCCCAGGGAGGACCGCAAGGGAGCCUCCUCGACGCCCAGACAAGCGUUGCACCGUUUCCCCAGGACUGGCCUGGCGUGCAAAGCAACUGGGUGCUGCGUUCUGGGAGUCGGACCGUUUCUGAUCUUCUCCUCAAACAGGCAGUGCCUGUGACAUUGAAUUCCUCUCGUAAGAAUGCCGGGCCCUGGUUCUUUGCUCUCCCUCUCACCAACAAGAGCUAGGAAGUAGAGCGCUUUUCACCAAGUAGUAACUGUAUUUACAGAGGGCGUGGCCUUCGCAGAAAAGGCCACCUUUUUGCAUCUUGACCGAGGUUGAUGACUCUGCAUCUUGACCGAGGUUGAUCACACCUGUGUUAAAUGUUUUCUUUGUGCAAGCAAUCGAAUGGGGGCUGUAGCGUGAUUGGUGAGGGUCAGGACAGUUGCCGGGAGAGUUUUUGUAACACACUUCGUGAGUGAAGAGUCUGGGAGGCGUCUUUUCAACAAACCUCAGCGGAAAACCCAGAAAGGCGCUCCGAGUGGAGGGAAGGUGUGGCCAGGCGGGGUCCCGGGGCAGCAGGAGGGACCCACGGGUGGAUGCUGGCCUCGUUCUCUACUUUGCAGUUUGAGUUUCCAUUUUGCAGGGGUCUAGUCUCACUCGCAUAGAUGAAGAGCUAAGCUUCCACAGAGCGGAUAUGCACCUCUCUCCCCGCCAGCUUGAAAAGCGAUUUGGGAAAGGGAUUCUUCAGGUGCCUUACACACAGAGGGUGUCACUGCUCAGGGAUCAUCUCUGUAUCCUAAGCGCUUGGCACUGUGCCUGGCACAUUUACUAUUUGUGAAUUGGAAGCUAGUGACCGAGUUAACAAAGGGCUUUUAGCAUGAAGCGUGAUUUAUGGUCCUCAGUGCAGACCGGGGAGGGGUCCUGGGGAGUGGCACUAAGGUUAAAGGCCGCUCUGCUCCCUCCCAGUCCCUCUAUCCACCGUCCUCCUCGCCACUGUUCCUGGAGGAUGGACACCCUCUUCCCCAUCCCCCAUCCCGCUCUCCAAGGGACAGCAGCUCACUGUGACUGUUGGAAGAGUUAGGCAUGUGGUUCCCUGCAGCCAGCUCGGUCCACUCUGUGACUUGGCACCAGUGGCGGAAUGAAGUGCCAGCAGCGAUUGCCUGCGACCUUGCCCUGAGCAUAGGCUCUUGCAGGUUGGGCUCCCUGGACUCAGCUCACCUGCCUCCAAGCCCCGCGGAUGCUGGGGUUGGGGCCUGUCAGUCCUACUAAAGGUUGGUGGCCUAUGCUAAAAACUCCUUCAGUAGGGCUGUAGUACUCUGCCCUCCCAAGGGGAGCUGGCCUGGUUCACAGCACUCCCAGCUUGGGUUGCUGGGCACAGGGGCUCGGGGCGGUGACUCGCAGCCAGGGUGGAGGUGGGGGGACUGGGGUCUGGAUUCAGCCCUGCCUCUCACCACUGGGACCCCCACCGAGCUUCUUCUGUGGUGCCCGCACACUGUUCACCUCCUGCUGGCUGGCUUGUGCCCCAGGGCAGGCUGGGGGCUCCCGCUGCCUGAGUCCACUUUGAUCCUGGACUUUCUGGGAGGAGCUCGGCUUCCAGGGGCGACAAGAUAAUAACCUUGGCCAACAUGCAAACUGCGUCUUGCCUCGGGGACAGCUGAGUCUGCCCAGGAGAUCCUGGGGCUGCCUUCUUUAUCCAGCUCAUUCUUCAGGACUCCCACACCUCUCUGGGUUCAGGGAGACUAACCUGGGUGUGCGAGUGUGUGCAUGACUGUGUAACAGUUUGUGUGAAUGUGAGUUUGAGUGCAUAAGUGUGAGUGUGCACAUGUGUUAUGAGUAUGUGUGAGUGUGAGUAUGAGUGUGUAGGGGGUUAGAAGGUAGUGGUCCCCCUUGCUCAGCCUGGAACCUGUUGCUUUCCCCUGCCCUAGGAAAAGCCUCAUCCAGGAGAAAGCAGAGGAGGUGGACUGGCCCCUGGCUGGAAGAGAGCCUGAGCUCCCUGGGAGACCUGACCCUAGUGACCUCCUCACGUGUUGGGUGCUUAGAAAAGAUAACCUGCAUUCUGGAAAAUUAUUGACAUCUUCUAAUCAUGAUACUUACUUACAGGGAUGAAAGAGGGCUGAGCAGAUAUGCCACCUUAUUUGAGCAUUUGAUUCUUUUCUGCAAGAAGUGGAGAUUUCCAAGGUUAUUGGAGGGUUCUGGUCUGCCUACUCCCAAGGUGCUGCUAAGUCAAAUAUUCAGGUUUCUCUCCUGCGCAUAGUGAGUGCAAAGGUCUGCUUGCCAUUAGAAUCGAUUUUACAUUUUAGCCAUCUAUUUUUAUAUCUGGAAAAGGCAGCCUUCAAAGCUAAGCCUUUGUAGAAGCUUACAUAUUUUCCUUUAAGCUCAUUUCUUUAAUACUGAUGUUGAAAUUUUCCUGCACAGAGAUUCCUAGUGUUUUUACUUAAUGAUAGAUGUUAAAAAUUAACUGCUAUUGUGUUUAAUAUAAUGGUUACAGAUUUUUUUUCUUUUUCCGUAUAAGAUAAAUUUUAAGAGAAGUGAUAAGUGAACUCAGGCCUCUUCAAUGCAGAUGUUAUGUGAUUCGUGAGUGUUAAAAGCAAAACAAAACCAUAAUAGAAUAUGUUAUUUACCAUCCAAAAUGAACAUCCUGUGAUGGAUAUGCAUAUAGUCAUAGCCACCAAAAACUUUAAAUAUCUCCCAAAUUAUCUGUGACUAGUUGCUAAGUCAUCUGAUUUUUUUUCUUACACAUAAUACACAAAAAGGUAAAGACUUUCCAUAUUAUGCAAUCUCUAAUAAUUAUAACUGAUAAUUAUUGAACAUUUUACACAUAUUUUACGUUUAGUUUCUUUCAACAGGAUUCUACUAUACCACCCGUCUUUAGGUAUAUGAUUUGAGAUUUUUUCGGUCAAGAAUGCACUGGUGUAUUUGUUUUUAACUGAUGUUCCUGACUAUUUUAUUCCAUCUUGCCCAGUGUUGCCUGGAGUUCCCUAAUGUCUUGCCUGGAAGAAAUGACUUACAUAUUUUCAGGGGGAAGAAAGGGGAAGCCUUGCUUGGGGGAACAGGGGAUUAGAGAUCAUGGCUGCCCGUCCCCUAAAACAGGCAAUCAGAGCUUAGGAAAGAGCAGAGCAGAAAAGGGGACUGUGUCCCACAAACAAGAAUCAACCAAUCAACUAGUGCUCUGAAAAACAAUAUUCCAAUCCAGAAAGAAUCUCUAAAACUCCCUUUAAGGAUAGUUGGAUUAAAAUGUGAGUAAAAAUUUGGGCUCAUUUUUGAAAUAUAUUAGAUAUGGCUAUCUAAUCAUAAUUUUCUCUUUAUAGCAUGAUGUAUUUUCCUGUGUAAUAUAUAUCAUUUUGAAAUCACACUUCCACACAGUCCAAGAAUUACAAAUGGAGCUAAUGUCUAUGUGAUCAGCAUUGGCCUCCCCUAUUGCGGUGGCUGUAGCUCUCAGUGGUAGGUGGCUGCAGCUGCCAAAGGAUUCAUGGAAGGCAUUUAAGAAAGUAACUUGCUUUUCUGUCACACUUUCUCAGCCUUAUAUAAGUAGAUACUAUUUAUCAAGUUCAGAAAUGAAAAAAGGAACAGUGGAAAGGAUUGGAAAUUUAGAGCUUAUUUCUAAAAUAAAAUAUUUCAUCCACACAGACGGGCAUGAGCAUGUUGUCUCCUGAGCUGUGGGUGCUGCAGCUAUGUGUCCGUCCUGUUGCUUUGUAAGUGUGUGUGUUUCUUUACGGGUGAUGUGUGUUUGUUCGUAGUCAGAGAUAAGCAGAUGGCUUUGGACUUCACCUUUGAGGAAGGAUGGUGUUGCCACUGGGCAGUUUAAGAGACUCUCAUUGACCUCAUGGCUCUGCCCUUCACUGUAUGAUUGUGGAGUUCCUUUUGUUUGUUUCUCUUUUCUUUCUGUAAAAUGGUAAAUAACAUAUUCUAUUAUGGUUUUGUUUCGCUUUUAACACUCAAGAAUUACAUGCAUGGUUGUGAGAUAGUGUGCACAGCACACCUUGUAUAAAGCCUGACACACAGCAGGCGCUGCCUUACCUUUAUGAAGAUGAGCAGAGAGCAGAAUGCUCAGGCGAUGUCUCAGUCAAAAUUAACAGACUAGGAGGUAAGAGCAUGGGCCAGGAGAAGGCUGAUCUGAGGAUGUGGGAUUCACGGGAAGGCAACUUAGUGCCUUCCUAGAGCCAAAUUAUGUGAGAGAGAGAGAGUGAGAGAGAGAGAGAGAGAGAGAGAGAGAGAGAGUGUGUGUGUGUGUGUGUGUGUGUGUGUGUGUGUGUGUGUUAGAGAUUUUUAGUUCUCAGGAUUUUUCUCACCAGUUUUACUCAAUAUUCCAAAUCUGCAGUUGCAUUUUUCUGAUUAAUAGGACUUAAAAACAAUAUUUAGAACAAUUACAUAUUGUUCUCACUAGAUCAAUACUGUUAACGUUUGCUUUUGUUUUUCAGCACCAUUUUUGUAGUCUUUAUUUAAUGUGAUUUUAUUUCUAACAUGUCAUUUUCCUUUUGGGUUCUUGUGCUACUAACAGUGAAUUGUAUGUGAAGUUAUGUAGUAAUGAUGUGUAUAAUAUGCUUUUUUGCAUAAAUAUUCAGGAGAACUUAGAAUAGCAUAAGCCAUCUGGAUAUUGAAGAACAAUUGAUGAAGAACAAUAUGAUACCAUGUGUAUAAUCUACAACAUUACAGCUUAUAAGAUUUUUGAUUUAAACCGUUGUCUUGAGGACAUGGAAUCAGUCAAAAAAAAAUCCCAUUGAACUGAGGCUAAAAACAAAAAUAUUGGAAAACUUUUUCUUUUUCUUUUUUCUUUUUUUUGAGACGGAGUCUUGCUCUGUCACCCAGGCUGGAGUGCAGUGGCGUGAUCUUGGCUCACUGCAAGCUCCGCCUCCUGGGUUCAUGCCAUUCUCCUGUCUCAGCCACCCGAGUAGCUGGGGCUACAGGUGCGUGCCACCACACCCGGCUAAUUUUUUUGUAUUUUUAGUAGCGACGGGGUUUCACCAUGUUAGCCAGGAUGGUCUCGAUCUCCUGACCUCGUGAUCCCCCGACCUUGGCCUCCCAAAGUACUGGGAUUACAGGUGUGAGCCACCGUGCCCGGUCCUUUUUUUUUUUUUUUUUGCGAUAAUCUCACUCUGAUGCCUAGGCUGCAGUGCAGUGGCACGAUCUCGGCCCACUGCAACCUCCACCUCUGGGGUUCAAGCGAUUCUUCUGCCUCAGCCUCCGGAGUAGCUGGGAUUACAGGCGUGCACCACCCCAGUCCGCUAAUUUUUUGUAUUUUUAGUAGAGAUGGUGUUUCACCAUGUUGGCCAGGCUGGUUUUGAACUCCUGACUUCAAGUGAUCCUCUGCCUUGGCCUCCCAGAGUACUGGGAUUACAGGCGUGAGCCACUGCGCCUGGCCUGGAAAACAUUUUUUAAAUGUUUGGCUGUCAGUCGAGGUUUGUCAUAUUCCUCAGAGCUUCCACUUGACCUUCCAGACCUGUCUAGGACGUGGCAAAAUCAAAAUGAUGAGAAGUACAUACUCAACAUCGUGAAAAGCCCGUCAGAGACACAGUGUCUAAUAAUUUCAUAAUUUCUUAACUGUCUAGUGAUUAUCUAAUAGGCAUAGAAAAUUUAGCUAAAUUAUUUUUAAAAUUUAACAGCAACGUAUAGCUUUGCAUUUUUUCAAUGUGUUGUUGGGUUUUUAAAAGAAAAUAUAUGUAACAGUUACCAGCUUAUAAAAUGUUUUCAUUGCACCUGCAGCAUAUACAUAUAAGUUUUAUUUGCCUUGCUUUAUCAUAUAGGAUGGUGAUGUUUUCUGAUUAUGACUUGCUAUUUUUAAAUUCCCCUUUUGUGCCGUACUGUUUGGGCACAAUUCUGCAUUAAACUAGGAUAUUGUGGAUGGACAUAUUUAAACUCCUUUUGUAUAUGAACUUGCAAAUUAUAAAUAUAUUUUAUAAAAAAGGGAUGGAUUUGGUCUAUCUAUGAGGUUAGUUCUGCAGAAACUACUUAGGCUUUCUGUGGCCAUUUCACCAGUCACCUGGAGGGGGAAGCUUCUGCUGAGAUCUUCACUGCUCUCUUCAGGAGUGAUUUCAUUCUGCAACCCAAACUCAGGUUAUUGUCGCCUCAGUAUUGUCGCCAACUCUGAACUCUCCACCCCACUUCAGAUUCAACUUGGUCAACACCAAGCAUCCUGUCUCCCCGGGGCCUUCUCUGGUGUGCUCAGAAGAGUUCUAGGUCAAGUGAACAAGCCGUUCGUCUGCUCCUUAGCCUGCACAUUUGUGACGAGACUGUGGGUGCCACUGCUGCCUUGGGUGCAAGUGCUGUCCACACCAAGCACCUUGUUCAAGGGCACGCUUCUAAGUUUUGCCCUUAAGUUUUCAUCUCGGUCCACAUACGUGUUGCGUGGCUCUACAUUCUGUGCGCCCCGCAGCAUGCAGAACCUCAAGCCUCCAACCUGGCCUCUUGGACUCAUUCCAUCUUUACCCUGUGUGGUGCUAGAUGUGCCUUCCCCUGCCCUAAGCCCCCCAGAAUCUUCUUCCGAGAAGCAUAGUUGGGGCUUUUCUCAGUGGGCAAUUACAUUCCAGCCUUAACCUUGGUCAAACCAGUCAAUCCACUGUUGCCAUUCUUCCUUAAAUACACCACUUGGUCAUUAGCCCAACAGGCUUGUAGUCCUGACUGGCGGCAAAUAGGCUCUUUUCUCCAGUUGAUAGAAGGCCCCGUCAGCCAGUUCUAAGCAAAGACAAUUCUGUUCUUCUUGAGUUCUGUUUUCCAUGUAGGUUUCUCAGCAUAAUGAUGCUUAGAUAAGACAAACUUAGUCUGUCUCCCCUGAUAGUCAAGAUGUAGGUGAUUGGAGCGGGUAUGUUAACUCUGCUUAUUAAAGUUUCCCAGGGCCGCAGCCAUACUCUUCCAUCCCACAUGGGUUGCACUCAUCUGCAUGGGUCAAGACAGCCUGUUACCAUGUCCACAUCAAGCUGAAGGCUGGAGGUAGGAGAUGCAGAAGGAACACUCCUUCCCCACCCUCUACGGGUACAGCCAGGAAGCUGCAAGAAUCACUUCUGCUCACAUCCAGUUAGCCUGAGUGUAGGAAUCUUCUCCACCUACCGUACUGUAAAGGAAGCUGGGAAAUGUCAUUCUUAUUUUGGUGGAUAAUGUGCUCAGCUAAAAUGGGAAAAGUCGGUCUGUGGCCAUGACAGAGAGUGGAUAUUAGCAUGCAAUAACAGUAUCAUCUGUGCCUCCUGUGGUUGAAGGUACCUUAGUGUGCCUUGCAGACACCACUGACAUUUUUCUGAGGAUCUACACUAACACCCAUCUUUGUUUCUAGACCUUAGCUAGACUCAAGUCCCUAAGCAUCUAAAGAUGAGGCACAAAGUAUGACCCAUGAGAUCUAUACUCCAAAAUAACAUGAUUUUCUCAAUUUAGACAUAAAUUAGAGGAAAGUGUGUGGGAAUGGGUAUUAGGGUGUGGAAUAAUGAUGCAAGGAACAUGAAAUUGGAUCUGGUCAGUGUUGUACCUCCAGGGCUUAGAAAGGGCUCUGACAGUUUGGUUGGUGGCGGAAACAGGCACCAAAAGGUGGCCUACACUAAAUGAAGUUGAAAUGCCAGAGCUACCUUGGUAUGCUGUAGUGGAAGGGAUCCAGAGGCUUAGGGAGAUUGGGAUGUUACAGUGGAUUUAUCAUAAAAGAUCUGCUCAUCCACCUUGGGAGGGUGCAGAGGACACACUUUCACCAGAAGUAUGGGGAAAAAAAUUUUUGAAGGGAGCCUCAGGUGUCCAUGAAGAGCUCUGGGGCUGCUCUUCUCUGCAGGUCAGAGAUUGCAGUGGAAGCUGCUGCCACUGACUGGGGGUCCUUAACUGCAUUGGGGAUGGUUGGAUCCCAGGUGGCAGGGGCCAUGUGAUCACCAAAGACCAGGUGGGUGCAUUGCCAUCAUGGAGAACAGCAGAGUCAAAGCAGCAAUCUGAACAGCCUGACUUGAGAGUCCUACGGCAUUGGGUAGGUGGUCAUGGUGUCCCUAGAAGAGAACUCGAUGGGCAGUCUACUGAAUUCUGACUCGAUCUGUAUAAGCAGAAGAGUUCUAGAUCAAGUGAACAGAAGUCUAUCUUGACAUACCAAAAGAAAGAGUCACGGUCCCUCAAUCACUUCCCAGAUUUGAGUCCCAGAACCCGUUAAAGGAAGGGGAGGCCGGUGACCCUACUACACUGCUGAUUACAUUUUUAUUUUAUUUCUCCCAACCCAUUUCUUUGAGUAACAAGUGUCUUCAUUUGAAGUGUAAAUAUCUGUGGAAAGAUAAAAUGGCUAUUUAUUACCCAUAUAUUAGGUCAAAUAGCUUAUUUGCUCCCAUCGUCUAGGUGGGAUGGGAUGGACAUUUUAAAUAAAUGGGAGAGAGAGUAUUUACAUUGUGGGUACAGGUAUGAUCUAGAUGCCCAUAUAUUUAUUAGGGCGUCAUAAUAUCACUGGGCAAUUAGGGGCUUAUCAAGAUGACUUCCAACACAGAAAGUAGCACAUCUUUCUCAGGGCCUGCUCUACACACCAGAAACAAUACAAAAAUUCUUUCUCUUCCUCCUUCUUUUAUUUGCAUUAUAUGGUUUCUGAUGUUCAAGGUGAAAUGUACUAUCUUGACUAAGAGCCCCAGGUCUAACGCCAGAUUAUUUGAGUACUGAUCUUGGCUCUGUCAUUCAGCUGUGUGACCUUGUUCAGAUUGACCCCUGUUUUUGAGAUAUUUCAUCUGGAACAAGGUAAUAAUAGAACAUAGCUCAGAGGAUUGUUGCAAACCUUAGAUGUCAGUGCUUAUAGAGUGCUUCGAGCAGUGCCCGACAUACGGUAAAUACUCAAUAAAUAGUUGCUUUUAUGAAUAGCUCCAGAUACAGAAGUUAGGCACGAUUAUGAGUAAAACAUUGGCUAGUGUGAGUUCCUUCUCAUCGAGAGCAGCACAGUUUCAAUGGGCAGAUAACUUAGAGAACCAAUCAGCUUACGAGAAGCUUUGGAACAUGACCUGUUGAAAGUUGAGAAUGGUCUUGUCUUUGCCGUCUUCUCCCCAAUCAGAUACAUCAGACAGCCUCUGUGCUAUGGUUCAUGGUUACCUUUGAAACAACGUGACAUCUUUUCUCCUUUAAUUCUCCUUCCCAGGCAGAAGGAUUUGUUCCUUCUGUGCUCACCCGCCACUUUGCAUACUCAUUACAGAAUGUUGUAUUAAUAUUCAGUUGUAGGAGCACUGUCUUGCCUUCUAUGUGUCUGUAGGUUCAGGGACCUUGUAUAGUCCUUGUUGAUAUCCCCAGCACGGAACUUACUCCUCAAUAUACAGAUAGCAGCUAUUUCAAAACAUCUUUUGAGCUGGGUGUGGUGGCUCACGCCUGUAAUCCGAGCACUUUGGGAGGCUGAGGAAGGUGGAUCACCUGAGCUUAGGAAUUCGAGACCAUCCUGGGCAACAUGGGGAAACCUCGUCUCUACUAAAAUACAAAAAUUAGCUGGGUGAGGUGGCACACGCCUGUAGUCCCAGCUACUCGGGAGGCUGAGGCAUGAGAAUUGCUUGAGUCCCAGAGGCAGAGGUUGCAGUGAGCUGAGAUUGUGCCACCGUACUCCAGCUUGGGCUACAGAAUGAGGCUUGCUCUCAAAAAACAAACAAACAAAACUACAACAACAACAAAAAAAACACUAUAUCUUUUGGAUUGUAGGUUUUUCAAAUUGUGAACAUAACCUCUGAUCAUUACACUUCAGCUACCCAGCAAGGACUAUAACACACAGGAACACUGAAGAAAUAUUUACCAAUUGACUAAAACAUUCACUGACUAAUUUUUGUUUUGAACAUCUCAGAAGUCUGAAAAUAGAGUUAGGUCUAGUUUCCUAUAGCGAUUGGUUUUUAAGUCUUUGAAUAUAAAAUUUAUAACAGCCUAAUAUAUACUCUGUGACUUUCAUAAAUGUGAAUUGUAUCAGGAUGGCAAUUAACACCUUUUACUUGCUUUGCAGGGAACAGAGAAGGAAAAACCCAUUUGACAAUGGGCAGCAGUUUGGCCACAGGUGCAGAAAAGGAAGAAGGAUGAAGACCCUUAGCAAGCUGGUAAUCUUGAACUGAAGCACCACGGAAGUGAAUUAGAGAGAUGGGCAGAGUUGGGCCGUCCCUGCUCCUGCCAUCUCCCUCCUGCUGCUUUCCCUGGACUGUCCCUGCCGGGCAGCACUGCCUUUGGCAUUGCUGCAGGUACACGGACCCCUGCUAGGGAACCUAGGCAGCAUGCAGGUUGGAAAGGGCCCAGGUUUGAAGGUCUAACGAACAAAUCUGGAUCCUGUUCAUAACGAGCUAUGCGACUUUGCCAAGUUACAGAAACUCUCUGUUUUUCAAUUACAUCAUCUCUAGAAUGAGGUGUUCAAGGCUAAGAAAUAUUUUCACAAUUCUCAGGGUAAUAUUUCUGCACAUGCCUUUUUUAAUAUUAAAAGGUAUGGCCAUAAAUCACUGCUUUUUAACCUACGGGCCGGAAUUUUUAUAUCUAAAUCGCUCUGGCCUCCUUAAUAACCAUCGUAUGUACAUACACUUAGGACUUGCCCUCAAAGAAAGGUUAGGAACUGCUAAGAACAAUAAUUUUUUUUUACCAUGUUAGAGAUGUGGUUCAGGAUUUUACAAAACAGUUGAUUAUGAAGGAGAGACAUUCUAGUUUAGGCUUUGAGCUUCUAAUAUUUCGAUGAUCCUCCCUCACCUGCUCCUAAUACAGAAUCAUGGAGACUGUGCACACCAGUGAUGGGAAUAGCAUGAACAAGAUGUGUGAGCAUGUUUAGAUUCGAAUUGGCUUUCUGUAUCUGCAGAAAUAAAGGAGCUUCAUCACCCAUA